rnacentral:rRNA from 1 species
AUGAACGCUGGCGGCGUGCCUAAUACAUGCAAGUCGAGCGAACGGACGAGAAGCUUGCUUUUCUGAUGUUAGCGGCGGACGGGUGAGUAACACGUGGAUAACCUACCUAUAAGACUGGGAUAACUUCGGGAAACCGGAGCUAAUACCGGAUAAUAUUUUGAACCGCAUGGUUCAAAAGUGAAAGACGGUCUUGCUGUCACUUAUAGAUGGAUCCGCGCUGCAUUAGCUAGUUGGUAAGGUAACGGCUUACCAAGGCAACGAUGCAUAGCCGACCUGAGAGGGUGAUAGGCCACACUGGAACUGAGACACGGUCCAGACUCCUACGGGAGGCAGCAGUAGGGAAUCUUCCGCAAUGGGCGAAAGCCUGACGGAGCAACGCCGCGUGAGUGAUGAAGGUCUUCGGAUCGUAAAACUCUGUUAUUAGGGAAGAACAUAUGUGUAAGUAACUGUGCACAUCUUGACGGUACCUAAUCAGAAAGCCACGGCUAACUACGUG